CUCAACCUACGGGGCGCAGCAGUGAGGAAUAUUGGUCAAUGGACGCAAGUCUGAACCAGCCAUGCCGCGUGCAGGAUGACGGCUCUAUGAGUUGUAAACUGCUUUUGUACGAGGGUAAUAUCGGAUACGUGUAUCUGCUUGAAAGUAUCGUACGAAUAAGGAUCGGCUAACUCCGUGCCAGCAGCCGCGGUAAUACGGAGGAUCCUAGCGUUAUCCGGAUUUAUUGGGUUUAAAGGGUGCGUAGGCGGCUUUCUAAGGUAGAGGUGAAAAUUCGGGGCUCAAUUCCGGACGUGCCUCUAAUACUG
rnacentral:rRNA from 1 species